ACUCAUCAUGUGAUCAUCUGGGAGGAGGACUGGCUGCUCUGCCCCUCUGAGCUGGCUCUGUGUUUUCUCUGAAGUUGCUUUUAGUAAUUUAUUCUUGUUGCUUCUCUCUCAGGUGUUUCCCUGUGACGCCGUGGAUUGUUGCCCACCGGUUGCCCGAGUCCCUUCUUCGCCCCUGCAGAUAAAUCAGAAACUGUUCCUGGAUUCUCAGCUGGCAGUCGGUUCGCUCCUUGUUGCUCCUCACCUGAACUUACCUGUCCGCCCUCCACCGCAGCUUCUCCACCAACCACAGAAGACCUCACACUGGAACCCGGACCACUUCCAGGACACCUACAAAGACCGAACCCACUGCAUUUCUCCCCCGACGGAAGAUAAUCUUCAUUUCAAAGUCCAGACGACCCCAGCUGGACAAGAACCACACAAUCUCAUUUUCAUCAUUGUAAAAAUAAACUUUAUUCCUCUGAUCUCCUGCUGAUGUUGUGCAACAAAAUGGUUGAUUUGGUAACGAAUAACUUGAUAAAACUGUCUGCUACGUUUGUACUUUGUAAAGAUCAAAAUUACAAAGUUGAGGCAGAAGAAAAUAUCAUGACCUCUGACUGUUUUCCAAAUAAAAUGUAAUAUUAAUGCCAUGCUU